AUCUUGCGCAAUGGGCGAAAGCCUGACGCAGCCAUGCCGCGUGAGUGAUGAAGGCCCUAGGGUUGUAAAGCUCUUUCAACGGUGAAGAUAAUGACGGUAACCGUAGAAGCAGCCCCGGCUAACUUCGUGCCAGCAGCCGCGGUAAUACGAAGGGGGCUAGCGUUGUUCGGAAUUACUGGGCGUAAAGCGCACGUAGGCGGAUCGGUCAGUUAGGGGUGAAAUCCCAGGGCUCAACCCUGGAACUGCCUUUAAUACUGCCGAUCUCGAGUCCGGAAGAGGUGAGUGGAAUUCCGAGUGUAGAGGUGAAAUUCGUAGAUAUUCGGAGGAACACCAGUGGCGAAGGCGGCUCACUGGUCCGGUACUGACGCUGAGGUGCGAAAGCGUGGGGAGCAAACAGG
rnacentral:rRNA from 1 species